GAGGAGAAGUAGGCCUCCCAGAGCAUCUGUGUACGCUGUCUCAGAGCCAGCACCCUGUCAAUGCCCACAGCCCGCACCGUGGAAGGUACCUGAGGGGACAAAGUGACAAAGAACUCACCGAAAAGUGAAAUUCGAGUUCUUCACACGAAGGUCUGUUACCUGUAGCAACAGUCUCUCGUCGCCCUCGACGACUGCCUGGUUCCACUGGAUGACAUCAGAGAAAGGAAUACUGUGAGACCCGCUCAAUUGGAUGCCUUCAAGACCUCAAUAAAAUACUAACAAAAGGAAUGUGUCACAAUUCAGGAUGUUAAAUGUAGUGGCAGCAGUCUGUUUGCUACAGGAGAACAACAGGCUUCCCAUUCCUCUUCGUUUUCUGUCUCAGCUAAAGAGCAAAGAGCUGGAUGGGUUUCUUGCCAAUCUCUUGCUCUACUUUUCUUGUUACUUUGAAAAAAAGCUCUGGAGGAAAGACCGAAUCUCUCAUGGGAGAGGACACUGAGAGGCGUGUGCUAAGGUGGAGCUGGCACAAAAGCAGCUUGCCCUCCGUCACUUCAGGCUGCUGCUGGGGAUAGAUCUGCCUCAACAGCACCAUAUGGCUUUUGACAGGAUCAAGGUGUCAUCCACUCACUGUGACAUACAACUAUACGAGGAAGUCAAACCGGUUCCUGGCCCUGAGAAAAAUCAUAACCCAGCAUUCCCCUCUGAUGGCCUCUCUGCUGCUUACUCCACAAGAAAAGGCCUCUCACCUGUUUGGGGGCUUCAGACGUCUUAAAAGUGUCCUCAACUUAACGCAUUGAUUUAGAAGCUGUGAUCGAAGGGUCUUAUAGAGCAGCUAAAAUCACUUCAAGGGAUACU